UUAGUGUUGAUAGUUUAGGGUUUAGUGUUGAUGGUUUAGGGUUUAGAGUUGAAGUUUAGGGUUUAGAGUUGAUGUUUUAGGGUUUAGAGUUGAAGGUUUAGAGUUUAGGAGUUAGGGUUUAGAAUUGAUGUUUUGGGGUUUAGGGUUUAGAGUUGAUGUUUCAGGGUUUAGGGUUCGUAUUUCAAAAAAAGGGGGUUUAGGAUUGAUGGUUUAGGGUUUAGAGUUAAGUUUUAGGGUUUGAAUUUCGAAAUAGUAUAAUUCGAAAAAAAAUUAAAAACUAUUUUUUGUUUUUUUUUAGAUUUUUAUUUAUUUAAAUAUUUAUUUAUUAUAUACAUAAAGAGCAAGUGCAUAAGAGUCUUUUGCCACUUAAUAAAUAAGAUAUUUUUGAAAAUGUCAUAUGGCAAAAAUGAAAAGUGGUAGCAUGAAAGUAGUAAACACGUAAUUUCCCCAGAAAAUUAAUGCAUAUGCACAAUAUAUAGUUUUACUUUGUAUUUACCAUUUUUUUACAAUGAAAGUAAAAGUAUUUUAUAUUUUUGUGAAUAUCUGAAUUUGAAAUACUCAUACUGGAGUCGCUUAAAUGCGCAUAUGUGUUAGUGUUUUAUUUAGAGUUCAAUCAUAAUAGAUAUUUUAUGCAAUUUACAUAGUAAUUUUAUUUUAGAUAUGAUAAAAAGAGAAAUAAAUAUAUAUAACUUUAAACUAAUGUUAAAUAAACUUUUUUUAUUAAAAUAAACACAUAACUAAAAAAUAUUAGAUGCAUUUUCUACUUGAUCUAGUUACAAAAUUAAUUAAUUGCAUGAUUAUGAUGUUUUAUUAGUUCACAUAUUUUUCAAUUGAUGAAUAUAUAAUGAAUAUUUUCAUAUUUUUAUUUUCUGUUGUCGGGAGCGUGAGAUUAUACUCUAAUGUCAAUAUUAUUUAUAAAUAUUAUUUGAAUUUUCAACUAAUUUAUUUUAAUUUUUAGCCUGUUUGAUUUAUUUUAUGUUGUCAUAUAUAUUAAUAACAUUCUGUUUCAAAUAUCUUUCAUUGAUAGAACUCGUGUGAUAUUAUUUUUAGUUUUAUAUGUUAUGUUAAUUGUUUUAAUAAAGUUUCAUAAGCAUAUGUCCUAUAAAUUUUAUCGGUGAAUUACACUAAAGACUUAUGAUAAGUCACCAUAUAGUUUGCAUAAUUUUUAAUGACCAUAUUUAAAAAAAAACUUAUUGAUUAUAGAAUAUUUAGAGUUU